ensembl:lncRNA
UGCUCGUUGCGCAUCAAAUGAACGGAACGCAAAGCAGUGCCUUUUCUCUGCUCCUGGAUUGACGAGGCACUCGCUAGGUUGCGCUCUAAUCUCAGUAUGUUGUGUCUUCAGUUGAAAACUUUGUGAAAACUCAGAAAGCACCAGCUACACUGCCUCUUGCCUCGCACGCUGUUCCAGAACUGGCGUACUUCUGUUCCGUGUCACAAGUUCCUGAACGAGAACCGCAUUGUGACGCAUCAUAGUCGCCGAUCUGUUUGCUGAUUUCUUUUUCAUUUUUGGAUUUCCUUGUAGCAUGAUGUCAGAUAAUAUUGGUUUGGUGUUGUGCGAUUUCAGAAAAUCACGUUGAUGUAGCAAUAUGAGAAUAGUUAAAGGGCUUUUUCACGAUCGAACACUCGUCAUUCUGGACAUUUGCACGUUUCACAAAUGGACAGGAACUUCACUAUUCAUGGCGAUAUCGCAUCUAAUAAAUACACCAUUUCUGGUUUCUGUUUGCGACAUUACUGCAACACAACACACUCCGCCCUGCAUCCUCAAGCCUUUUCAUUUUCCCUGCAUCGAAUCUGAGCGGGUCAUGUAACUGGAUGCUGAAAUGCACUCUGGGAUUUGUAGGAUAUGCAAGCAGACAGGCACUCCAUCAAUCAAACGCUGUAUAAAUAUGAAUAUAUACAUUAUACAGUAUUUAAACAUUUCCAUUUUGGAUGUUUAUCAUUAUGCCUAAAUGACAAUGGUGUGUGGCCUGUAGGGGAAAAUAAAUAAAUAUAAAUAUAUAUAUAUAAAUAUUAUACAGUAUAUUAUUCUAUAUUAUAACACACUGCAUAUAUAAAUACUCCAUGACUUGUUCUACAGAGGAUAAAUAUUGUUUGUACCGACUUAUUGUUAUGCAUUUUGCACAUUAGAUGCAUCAUUUACAUAUUUACAUAUUCACGUAGUGAGCUUUGUGCUAUGCAAGGAUAGCUUUGAAACAUGCUAAUUAGCUUUUUUCUUCUUAAUAGAGCAAAAAUACUGUACAGGAAAUAAAGAACUCUAUUAUGCUCCUUCUUCAGCUGUGGAUAUUUUAAUUUGCCAGUCAAUUAAAAAAGAUAUAGAAAUAUAAAUACGACAUUACAUUGAUUAUUUUUGUUCUAUACAGUUUCAGGGUUAGCUUAAAUGUGGACUAUUGUAUUUUAUUACGUUUUUUUUUGUGUGUGUGAAAUGGCAAUAAAAUAAAAAUCAAGGCUCAAAUGGAUACGAAUGAGAAAUGUAAAUUUUGAUUUAAAAACACUUUUGUCUGUUAUUCCGCUAGUCUUUAUAACGUGUCCUUGUUGACUUCCCGUAGCGACUUGAAAGUAAUUUGUUUAUAUGGAUAAAUCAACUGCCAAUAAUUUUCCAUCUUUUAACUGGAAAAAGUCCUUCAUCAACACAAGAGUUGGAAUUUUUUUAGUUUUUCCUCCAAAAAAACCCAACAUUUUUCUCCACCGAAAUCCGGAAGCGUAGCGGAUUUAAAAAUCAUGCUAAUUAGGGAGAAUAUUAACACUUCCAUCAGCUGUCACGUUGUAAAAAUAAUAAUAGAAGAACAAUAAUACAAACGUUAUUAAUUUUGCACCAUGCAUACGUUAAAAUGAACAAUUAAAAGUUUAACAGGAAAUAAAAAAGAAUCAAUUCAAAAUAUAAUGUAAGUAAGUACAAAAUAAGGGAAAUAAUAAAUAAAUAAAAACGUUAAAGUAAAUACAUAAUUAAGAUAAUAAGGAAAUGUGUAAAUCAGGGAAAAAACAUACAUUUUUAAAUGUGUAAACAUUAAUUAAUGCAAAUUAAAUUCAAUAAUAAAAACAAUACAAAACUAGAGAAAAGUUAAAAAUGUAAAAGGUUUUAUUUUUCUUUUCCUGCACGGAUAAAUCUGUUUAAAACCUUGUUUCAAAAAAAUGCAGUGAUGCAUUAUGGGUAAUGUGAGACAAUCAACAGGAGAUGGAAAGAGGAAGUCACCAAGGAUGCAGAAUUAGAAAAAAAAACAGAAUUAGAACACAUUAAAACUAUCUCAUCUUUAGUCUUUAUCUUUAAUAUUUGAUAUUAAAUAAAUGUUGUAUAAAAUAUAAAUGGAGAAAAAACUGGAGCGAUGAACUUAACAGCCCACGCUAUAAAAUAAAUCCACUCAAUUUACUGAAAUCAAGUAAUAAAUAUUUUUAGCCGAAACUGUUUUUCUUGUUUGUUUGUUUGUUUGUUUGUUUGAUUUUUGUCCGUUUAUAAGCACAAAUGUUUAAUUCUCUGUUAGAAGUGAGUGUUUAACUGUUGUGUAGCUAAGCAACUAUCUUAAACAGGGUAGAAACAUUUCAACAUGCUAAUCAGCGCGCGCACAGACACACACACACACACACACACACACACACACACACACACACACACACACACACAGCUUUAACUUGCCCUGCAUCCCUGAUACGGUGUGUGUAGGUGUUUUUCUGGAGGUUUGUGUGAGGAAAGAAAUAAAGCGUUGGGGAUUUACUCGACUGUAACAGUGGGGUAUUAUGUUUUAGCUCCUGUACAACUGCAUUCGUCUUCGAAUAAAACACACAAACUACAAUAUGUCCACUUUUUUAUUCCUUUUUUUUUUUAAUCUACCCUGUGGGGUUGUUGUUUUUUUGUUUGUUUAUUACACUCACACAUCUGUGUGUAAAAUGACAGUAAAACCUACUUUAUUAAGCAUUUACAUUAUGAACAUGAAAUCUUCAUAAAACCUACAGAAUCCUCAGCAGGUAGAAAUCUGCUCAUUAACAUUCAAAUAUUAUUCAUUAAUUAAUUCAGUAAAAG